GGGCCUGUAGCUCAAUGGUUAGAGCUGGCGGCUCAUAACCGCUAGGUUGGGGGUUCGAAUCCCUCCGGGCCCACCA
rnacentral:tRNA from 1 species